ACUUCCUGUGCCUCCAGCUGAUGGACUCGUUGCCGUUCAGCCACCUAAACGGUGAUUUGGACCAUGAGACCCUGGUGUCCGAUGUGAUGUAUGAGCUGAUAGAUGAUGUAACACUUGGUCUCUGCUUUGAAGUUCACAGGGCCUGUAAAAAUGGCACCCUUUUUCUUGGGGACACAGACCCAAAGAAAACAUCAGAACUGGUGCCAUUACAAAAUCUGAAAAUUUGCUGCCCUUGAAUUUAUUGUUAUAUGUAAAUAUUCUUGUUUACAUUGUAGGUCACAAAGAGAACAUGAGCUGGUUGAUAGAGCAGGAGUGGACGUCUUUGGACACGUUCCCACAAAGAAACAGUUUGAGUGCGUGUGUCCCAACUGUCAAAGAAACCUCGCCGCUUCUCGUUUUGCCCCUCACCUUGAGAAAUGUAUGGGAAUGGGAAGAAACAGUUCUCGUAUCGCUAAUAGGCGACAGGCAGCCAUGGCCAAAGAAAAUGAAUCAAGUCGAAUGUCUGUUCUGGGGGAUGACAGCGCAGAUGAUGACAAUGACUUAGACUGGAGUUACCAUGUUGACAGAAAAAUUAAGAAAUUGAAAAAGGACAAGAGUACCCAUUCUCCAAGACGGAACAAAUUUAACAGAUUCCACAAGAAUGGUGACUCCAGUUCGGACAGAUCUGCGACCCCUGAACCUGGUCUCUCCUACGAACACCUGUCUCAAGAGGAAAGAAAACAGAUUUUAGUGAAUACUUGCGGAGUUAUAUCGGAGCACACCAAGAAAAUGUGUGCCAAAUCUCAAAAAUGUCACCAACAUACUGAUGAUCAAAGGGUGAAAGUUCGGCAGUACUUAUUGGGACAGUCAAUGGUGGUGGACGAGGAUACGACGAUUGACAUUGACAGCCUGGAUGAUGUGGACAGCAGCCAGUCCCUGAGGGACAACCUGUGGGAGGGGGGCUCCAACGCUUCCUCCCCCGCAGACUCCACCUCAACUAACAAUAGUACAGGAUCAAAAAAGAGGAAUGGACCCAAAAGUGCAAAACUAAAGAAAAAGAAGAGUAGGUAUGGCAGUGAUCCGAGGUCCAGCCCAUUUGAUUUUGACUGAGUGAUUGUUUACAUGUACCAGGAACCUUAGAUCAACAUUGUUAGGGAAUGUUUUAUGAUGAAGACUUUGUUGUUAUUCCUUUGUUAUUUGUUUUCAAUAAAUCAUUUGUUUUC
rnacentral:misc_RNA from 1 species